AACGUGUCGAGAAGGAGGGGGAUAACCACCCGAAAGGGUGGCUAAUACCGCAUAAAUUCUGAGGAAGAAAGCUGGGGACCUGGGAAUAGGCCUAGCGCUUUUUGAGCGGCCGAUGUCGGAUUAGCUAGUUGGUGAGGUAAAGGCUCACCAAGGCGAAGAUCUGUAGCGGGUCUGAGAGGAUGAUCCGCCACACUGGGACUGAGACACGGCCCAGACUCCUACGGGAGGCAGCAGUGGGGAAUUUUGGACAAUGGGGGCAACCCUGAUCCAGCCAUGCCGCGUGUAUGAAGAAGGCCUUAGGGUUGUAAAGUACUUUUGUUAGGGAAGAAAAGUCAGCUGUGAAUAAUGGCUGAUACUGACGGUACCUAAAGAAUAAGCACCGGCUAACUACGUGCCAGCAGCCGCGGUAAUACGUAGGGUGCGAGCGUUAAUCGGAAUUAUUGGGCGUAAAGCGAGUGUAGAC
rnacentral:rRNA from 1 species